rnacentral:rRNA from 1 species
UACGGAGGAUGCAAGCGUUAUCCGGAUUCAUUGGGUUUAAAGGGUGCGCAGGCGGGGAUGUAAGUCAGUGGUGAAAAACUGCCGCUUAACGGUAGUCGUGCCAUUGAUACUGCAUCUCUUGAGUUUGGAUGAGGUAGGCGGAAUGUGCAGUGUAGCGGUGAAAUGCAUAGAGAUUGCACAGAACACCAAUUGCGAAGGCAGCUUACUAAUCCACGACUGACGCUGAGGCACGAAAGCGUGGGGAGCGAACAGG